AACGAACGCUGGCGGCAGGCUUAACACAUGCAAGUCGAACGCUCCGCAAGGGGAGUGGCAGACGGGUGAGUAACGCGUGGGAACGUGCCCUAGGGUAUGGAAUAACUUCGGGAAACUGAGGCUAACACCAUAUGUGACCGAGAGGUGAAAGUUUAUCGCCUUAGGAUCGGCCCGCGUCAGAUUAGCUAGUUGGUGGGGUAAUGGCCUACCAAGGCGACGAUCUGUAGCUGUUCUGAGAGGAAGAUCAGCCACACUGGGACUGAGACACGGCCCAGACUCCUACGGGAGGCAGCAGUGGGGAAUCUUGGACAAUGGGCGCAAGCCUGAUCCAGCCAUGCCGCGUGGAUGAUGAAGGCCCUAGGGUUGUAAAAUCCUUUCGUUGGGGACGAUAAUGACGGUACCCAAAGAAGAAGCUCCGGCUAACUUCGUGCCAGCCGCCGCCGUAA
rnacentral:rRNA from 1 species